rnacentral:rRNA from 1 species
UACAUAGGGCGCAAGCGUUGUCCGGAAUUAUUGGGCGUAAAGAGCUCGUAGGCGGCUUGUCACGUCGGUUGUGAAAGCCCGGGGCUUAACCCCGGGUCUGCAGUCGAUACGGGCAGGCUAGAGUUCGGUAGGGGAGAGUCGGAAUUCCUGGUGUAGCGGUGAAAUGACGCAGAGUAUCAGGAGGAACACCGGUGGCGAAGGCGGAUCUCUGGGCCGAUACUGACGCUGAGGUGCGAAAGCGUGGGGAGCAAACAGG